rnacentral:rRNA from 1 species
CGGCAGCACAGUAAGAGCUUGCUCUUAUGGGUGGCGAGUGGCAGACGGGUGAGGAAUACAUCGGAAUCUACCUUUUCGUGGGGGAUAACGUAGGGAAACUUACGCUAAUACCGCAUACGACCUUCGGGUGAAAGCAGGGGACCUUCGGGCCUUGCGCGGAUAGAUGAGCCGAUGUCGGAUUAGCUAGUUGGCGGGGUAAAGGCCCACCAAGGCGACGAUCCGUAGCUGGUCUGAGAGGAUGAUCAGCCACACUGGAACUGAGACACGGUCCAGACUCCUACGGGAGGCAGCAGUGGGGAAUAUUGGACAAUGGGCGCAAGCCUGAUCCAGCCAUACCGCGUGGGUGAGGAAGGCCUUCGGGUUGUAAAGCCCUUUUGUUGGGAAAGAAAAGCAGUCGGCUAAUACCCGGUUGUUCUGACGGUACCCAAAGAAUAAGCACCGGCUAACUUCGUGCCAGCAGCCGCGGUAAUACGAAGGGUGCAAGCGUUACUCGGAAUUACUGGGCGUAAAGCGUGCGUAGGUGGUUGUUUAAGUCUGUUGUGAAAGCCCUGGGCUCAACCUGGGAAUUGCAGUGGAUACUGGGCGACUAGAGUGUGGUAGAGGGUAGUGGAAUUCCCGGUGUAGCAGUGAAAUGCGUAGAGAUCGGGAGGAACAUCCAUGGCGAAGGCAGCUACCUGGACCAACACUGACACUGA